rnacentral:rRNA from 1 species
GACGAACGCUGGCGGCGUGCUUAACACAUGCAAGUCGAACGGUGAAAGCGGAGCUUGCUCCGCUGGAUCAGUGGCGAACGGGUGAGUAACACGUGGGCAACCUGCCCCUCACUUCGGGAUAACUCCGGGAAACCGGGGCUAAUACCGGAUAUGACCUCCUUGGGCAUCCUGGGAGGUGGAAAGUUUUUCGGUGAGGGAUGGGCCCGCGGCCUAUCAGCUGGUUGGUGAGGUAGUGGCUCACCAAGGCGACGACGGGUAGCCGGCCUGAGAGGGCGACCGGCCACACUGGGACGGAGACACGGCCCAGACUCCUACGGGAGGCAGCAGUGGGGAAUAUUGCGCAAUGGGCGAAAGCCUGACGCAGCAACGCCGCGUGCGGGAUGACGGCCUUCGGGUUGUAAACCGCUUUCAGCAGGGAAGAAGCCGCAAGGUGACGGUACCUGCAGAAGAAGCACCGGCUAACUACGUGCCAGCCGCCGCCGUAA